AACUUCCAAUUCAUUUUAACAUAAUCCGAUCUUUAACAAAAAGGAAAGACAGAUGGCAAAAACAUACUACUCCUCGUAGGGUCAAAAACCAGCCACCACACAAAACCUCCAUUGGUAAAACCGGAAACAAAACAACCCCGAAAACAAUGUAUCUAAACUUGACACCACCACCCACCGGAGGAACCACAACAGCUUUAUCAACACAAACACUACACCCUCCUAAAUUCACGCACCCUAAUCCUCCCCUUUUCUCCAACCGUCGUCCCAAAUUCUUAUCCACGUCAUCAUCUAAUCAUAAUAAUCUACUGAAAAGUGUCAUUGUGAAUGCUGACGUCACCAAUAAAUCAAAAGCCUCCACUGGUUUUCAGGAUUCUAAUGAUGAGCAGCAGCGAAUAUCUGUUGUUAGUCAAGAAAAUGUCCCUCUCGAAGGUGUUAUUCAGUUUGAAAAACCCGAUACUACUUCUCGCUUUAGAAAAUGGGGUCACGUGGCUUUACUUUCCGGUGGAGAUGUAUUGGCAAUACUUAUGUUCUCAGCAAUAGGAAGGUUUAGUCAUGGAUUCUCUGUUUUUGAUGUGGAAACCCUUCGAACUGCUGACCCCUUUAUUGCUGGGUGGGUUUUAAGUGCUUAUUUCCUUGGUGGUUAUGGAGAUGAUGGACGGGGUGUGAAUGGUAAGACCAACGCCAUUACUGCUGCUGUUAAAUCCUGGGCAUUGGGCAUACCUUUGGGAAUAUUUAUAAGGGCCACAAGUAUGGGUCACAUUCCUCCGACCAGAUUUAUUGCGGUUACAAUGGGUAGCACUGCUCUGCUGCUUAUAGGAUGGAGAGCACUGAUAUCUAACAUUCUAGCUGAUGAUAAGAGCAAGAAGAACGACAUGUACAAGCGUGGCAGUCCUUUUGAGCUGUUUGAGUUGCUCACAUCAUUGGUACGAAGAUGGUGAGAUAUGCUCCUCAGUCUACUGUAAUUGUUCUUGUACCAAACCUAUCGAUACAUAUUCAUGUUUUUUAGUGUCUUAAAUGGAAGUUGACAAGGCUAAGACCCAUCUGAUACAAGCAGGGUAUAUGGGCGUUAGUUUUGAGUCCAUAUUGUUGCACAUCUUUUGUUACAAUUGUUCAAGUCAUCAUAUUCCUCUCAAGGCAUUUAAGCUUCAAACUAUCAACAUUGUCUUCGGCAUCUUCGGUACGAGUAAUGUAUGGGGUCUUUGCCGAUAGGUUUAUAUACAACUAGAGUUGUCAACUUGGCGCUUGCAAGAUCUUGUGGUUGAUCUGAAUAGCGUUUAGACUUUAGUCGUAUUCAUUUCCUACUUCCCUGUAAAGACCGGGAUUUAACUAAGGACAUUUUAAGGCCUGCGAGGCCCAGUGGAUCCUAAUUGGAUUCGGCCUUUUCUUUCUAUGUUAUGAUUAAAAUUUUAUUGUCUUCUGUUUAA